AGAGUUUGAUCCUGGCUCAGGACGAACGCUGGCGGCGUGCUUAAUACAUGCAAGUCGAGCGGGCACCAUCCGGUGGAAACGCCGGUGAAGUGCGAGCGGCGAACGGGUGAGUAACACGUGAGCAACCUGCCCCCAAGUCUGGGAUAAGCCUGGGAAACCGGGUCUAAUACCGGAUGCCCUCGUCAAGCCGCAUGGCAUCA
rnacentral:rRNA from 1 species